CUAUUGACCUCAAAUCAGGUAG
rnacentral:rRNA from 2 species